rnacentral:tRNA from 1 species
GGUCUUAUAAUUAAUAAUAUUAAAUUGCAAAUUUAAAAAAGAUGUAAAUCUAAGACUU